rnacentral:lncRNA from 1 species
AAAACGCUGCUAGCAAAAAGAAAAAAAGAAAAAACACUCUCUCCAGUUUAUCUCUCUCACUAAAAAAACAAAAGAAAAGGAUAAGGCCACCACUCACUCUCUCAUAAGACUCUAUUUUGCAACAGUAAGGAAAAAAAGGGGAAAACGAAAUAAGAAAGAGGAUACCUUUCUUCUUCCUCGUCGUCCCUCCAUCCAAACCGCAUUCACCGCGCGACCUUCUUCACCAUAACCGCCACCCACUCAUACGUUUCACCACCCUUUUCUUCAACCCUCAUCCGCC